ACGUUGAAACACCGGUUCUUGUAUGAUAACCGAAGUUAAGCAACGACGAGCCUGGUCAGUAUCUAGAUGGGUGACCGCUUGGAAAUAUUAGGUGCUGUU